UGUAGCACCUAAAUAGAACUAAAGAGCUGGAUGAUAAUACGAGCUUCUCACUGAUCGUCCUAGGCUUUCUUCUCGCGUCGAGACAUCUUGAUCAAGAGUUCAUAUUAGUGGUAUAAGAUUUGGUAUAUAGUAUCUGGAUUGUUGGAUGAGGGUUCACAAGGUCCGCACUGUCAGCAGUAACAGUUCAUGUGACAAGUUUUACGAAGUUCCAUGGAGUUGCAAAAACUCCAACAAAGACGAUUGUGCGUAAUCUGAAAGAAUACAUGGAGAAGAAGGGCUUACCAAAAGGGUUGGCUCUAGAGAGCUGCAAUAUUCUCGAAACUGCAGGACAUGGGGUAGUUGCUCCUCUUCACCAGACGCUGCAAUCUGCCAUUAAUGGGAAUGAUUCAGCAUUGCCAAAUUCUGGGACAGUUAUUUGGAUUUGAGGGAGAUCGCGUCAGCUUUUGAAAACGGGUUCUUAUAUUAAGGAAGCACAUUUCUGGUUUAGCUAAUUGUCACUCACAUAGAGCGGGAGGUUGAGCAACUUCUUUGGAAAAAAAUCUGGUGGCAAACAAGAAGAAAGGAAAGCUCGAACCAUCUGGGUGUCAGAAGCUGAUAGAAGAAGCUAACAAGAAUUACAUGUUGUUACUUGCGUGAAAAUCUUCUUAACUGUGGAAUAAAAAAGAAAUUUGGUUCACUCUACAUUCUAAAAUUAUGGGACCCUGAGUUGAUUUAAGUUUCCGAAUACUCUUUUUCUGUUUGCUUCAUCUGUGUCCUAUUCGUCCGUGUGUUUGUUUUGUUGCCUUUAUAGCAGAAAUGGGGUUUUGUAAUCUGAACAUGUUUUCAAACUCAGGAUGUUCAUAGAGAUCGUUCGGGAUUCUCUGGCCAAAAUGUCCAUCCCCAGCAGUAGGUCGCAAGAGGUCCUGGGAUCUUAAGUUCCCUUCCAUCGAACUUCAACGUGUAUGCUUGUCAAAGUGCCGGGGAUAGCUUUGAGAGGCCGGGGCAAUUUGGUAGUAGAGAGAGGCAGGGGCAAUUUGACAAUAGAGAGAGGAAGGGGCAAUUUGACAAUAGAGAGAGGCAAGGGUGGGCAGGACACAGUUUUGGUGAGGAAAGAGAAAUCACCGAAACUCAAUCCAACAGAACUCGGGAAGCAUUUGUGUGAGCUUGGAGAUCAGUUGUUUACAGGCACCUGUUACUCCAAUCCUAAAAACCACAGAACUAAAGAGCCUAGGCCAAAGGUACCACCAGCAUUCAAUAUCUAUCAGCAACAGGCAGUUGACUUCUUUCUGAUAGUCUUUCCAAGAUCACCUAGAAAGAUGCAAGUAAAGUCUGCCGAGCCAAUUCACUGGCAACACACAAAUUCGGUUAAGUUUCUACUGUGGGAAAAAACAUCUAUGGGAAAAUAUCAUCACAACAAUUUCAGAAGUUACAGCAAACAUCGUUGUAAGAAUCCUAACAGUAAAUCUACAAAAAACGCGUAAAGCAGGUGUGAGCUGCAGAAACUGGUAGGUGGCAUGGACUUGAUGUUGUGUUCCCAGUAGCGCGUUGCUACCUAAAAGAAUGCUUAACAGGGACUACAGGAAGAGGAUGACUGAUGCCCAAGCUUUGACUAGGGGCGCAAAUUGCAUGCUCCUCGGCAUUACAAACACCCAUCUUCUUCAAUCUGCUUUUAAACUAUAACCUAUUAUGAGCAGCAAACCAUUUCUCUUUUCCCUACUGACAAGAUCUGCUGCCUCUCUUUGCUUUCUCUGAGAUUUCAUCCCUUCCAUUUGCGAACCCUACCUGUCAUCUCUCCUCCGCCCCCUUAACUUUUCUCUCCUUUUCAGUAUCCUUGGAUCAUCAGGAAAUUGGUUUCAUCAAGGUAAUUCUUUCUCUUUCUUUUAAUAAUUCAGCCUGUAAUUAGUAAUGGUGGUCUGAAGUUGAUUGGUUGGGAGUACUUGAUCGAUCGUCUGUAAUUAGGAUUUAUUUCACAUUCGGAAUUUAAAAAGUUUAAACCUGUAACAAAACCUGUAAUAAUCAUCAAAACGAUUAAAAUGUGUGGGUUAUUUGGACGAUUGAACAAUUGGAAAAUUUGAAGCUGUUUUUGUUAAAUCAAUUUUUGGCUAACGAUUUUCGGAAUUUAAAGAGUUAAAACCUGUAAUAAUCUUCAAAAUGAUUAAAAUGUGUGGCUUAUUUGGACGAUUGAACAAUUAGAAAAUUUGAAGCUUUUUUUGUUAAAUCAAUUUUCGGCUAACAAAUUCAUAGCAUUUCUGAAUUAAAAUCCGACUAAUUAUGUUUAAAUUUCUUCAAUUAUUACAGCUGUUUACCUCAAAAUCGAUCAAUUUCUUCAGUUCCCUGGAUGAAUUCGGAGAGAAGAACAGCAAUUACAAAGCUCAAUCAUACAGAAAGAACAACAAUAUUGAAGAAAAGGAGGAAGAAGAAACUUCAAUUACUGGUACUGAUCCUUGAAGUCGUCGCAACACCCCAAUGAUGAAGAAUUAAAGUAUCAAAAGUAUCUAUUAUUUGCAAGAUCUUCAAAAGUACCAGUAAAUGCUAAACUUGACCACUUAAAGGUUGGAUACCUUGAUUAUUGCAAGAAACGAGGCUUUGUCACCUGCUAUAUAAGCCCCUGUCCACCAGCGAAGGGAGAAGAAUAAUUUUAUAUUGUCAUAUAGAGACACAAAAAACACCCAGGCGAGUAUUUAAAACAUCUGAAUGGCUUCCUUACAUGGUUUGGGAAGGUAACAAGCAACUACAACUUUCUGAAGGCAUUACGCAAGUAGUUCAUUCUAUGUCGUCUAAUUCGUAAAUGAAAAACGUAUUUAAUACACUUUUCGAUUUCAUAUGUAGUAAGUGUUUUUUCUUGUAAAGUGACUUUCAAAUUGUAAUUAUUAUGACUAAUAAUUUAAUAUUUUUUUAUUUUGCUAA